rfam:Triticum aestivum genome assembly, contig: Triticum_aestivum_CS42_TGACv1_scaffold_406671_5BL
UUUAUACUCCCUCCGUCCGAAAAAACUUGUCAUCAAAAUGAAUAAAAGGGGAUGUAUCUAGAUGUAUUUUAGUUCUAGAUACAUCCCUUUUUAUCCAUUUUAAUGACAAAAAUUUUCGGACGGAGGGGGUAACAU